rnacentral:rRNA from 1 species
AACGUAGGAGGCGAGCGUUAUCCGGAUUUACCGGGCGUAAAGCGCGUGUAGGCGGUUUCAUAAGUCGUGCGUGAAAGCUCCCUGGCUCAACCGGGAGAGGUCGUGCGAUACUGCGAAACUUGAGUCAGACAGAGGCAAGUAGAAUUCCGGGUGUAGUGGUGAAAUGCGUAGAUAUCCGGAGGAAUACCAGUGGCGAAGGCGACUUGCUGGGUCUGUACUGACGCUCAGACGCGAAAGCAUGGGGAGCGAACGGG